rfam:Heterocephalus glaber contig82702, whole genome shotgun sequence.
GAAUGUGAGGCCAAUCUGGCUUCAACAUCUGCCACCGCUUUGAUCGCCAGGGUUGAUUCGGCUGAUCUGACUGGCUUGGGUAGGUGUCCCCUCCCUCACUGCUCCAUGUAUGUCCCUCCCGAAGCUACGAGCUUGGUGGAAGAGGGCAACCGCCCCGAUAGAGGAGGACCAUUUCCUCAGUUAAGGGUAUAUGAGUAGCUGCGCUUCCCUGCUAAGACCUCCGAACAAGCUGUCAAAAAUACUAUCUCUGUAGUAACCAUGACAGGGUUAAAACAGCUUCUUUCUGGGCCGGGGAUUUAGCUCAGCAGUUUCGCCGCCUGCUGCA